UACGGAGGGGGCUAGCGUUGUUCGGAAUUACUGGGCGUAAAGCGCACGUAGGCGGACUGUUAAGUCGGGGGUGAAAUCCUGGGGCUCAACCUCAGAAUUGCCUCCGAUACUGGCAGUCUCGAGUGCGGGAGAGGUGAGUGGAAUUCCCAGUGUAGAGGUGAAAUUCGUAGAUAUUGGGAAGAACACCAGUGGCGAAGGCGGCUCACUGGCCCGUAACUGACGCUGAGGUGCGAAAGCGUGGGGAGCAAACGGG
rnacentral:rRNA from 1 species